ACGCUCGACACCUACGGGGCAGCAGUGGGGAAUAUCGCACAAUGGGGGGAACCCUGAUGCAGCGACGCCGCGUGAGUGAAGAAGUACUUCGGUAUGUAAAGCUCUAUCAGCAGGGAAGAAAAUGACGGUACCUGACUAAGAAGCCCCGGCUAACUACGUGCCAGCAGCCGUGGUAAUCUGAGCGGGCUGGCAAGGC
rnacentral:rRNA from 1 species